UAUUCAUCAAGUGUUGACUACUUGUGAUGUGAUCCACUCACUGGCAGGUGCGUGAGCUGGAAUUAGAACUGGAGGCUGAGCAGAAAAGAGGAGCUGAUGCCAUGAAAGGAGUCUGAAAAUAUGAGCGGGGAGUCAAGAAGCUCAUCUACCAGGUAGUAGAGAAAUGAGUUCAGAGGAAUCUGAUUCAAUUAGAAGUGAUCUAAUUUCCUUUACCUCACUGAUUGAUCUGCUGAUCUCUGCUUGCAGACCGAAGAGGUCAAGAAGACUGUCCAAAGGCUGCAGAACCUGGUGGACAAGCUGCAGUUGAAAGUGAAGGCCUACAAAUGUCAGGCUGAGGAAGCUGUAAACUUAGAUCAAUGACCUAUGACCUAAUGAGAAAGUACCUGGUUGUUAUUGUUAAUCCCUGACUUCUUGUAUUAUGGUCUGGUGGUGUUGUUCCAGGGAGAGCAGGCCAACACCAACCUGACUAAGUGCAGAAAGAUGUAGCAUGACCUGGAGGAGGCAGAGGAGAGGGCUGACAUCGCAGAGUCCCAGCUCAACAAGAUUAGAGCCAAGAGCAGGGAUGCCGGGAAGCCUGAAUCUGAGUGAGCAGAAGACCCAAAAGUGGUUAGAAGACCCAGGAUUUGUGCCUGCUUGGAUGCCUGCCUGGAUGUCUGGUUCUGUUUAUGUAUAGACUGUAGCACAACCUAGUGGAACUAUAGUACAAAAUAAAUUAAGCAAGUGCAUGUAUAACUGUUUCUGGGGUUGUUUUAAAGUGUGACACAAAACAUUAACAUUCACUUGUAUCUGUUUUGCAUUAACAUAUCCUCCAGUGAUCUAAUUAGGCCUACUUUUGAUAGCUUUUUUUGUUGUUGUCAUUAUCUUGCCAAACAAGGCAACAGUAUAAACAAGUGUAAAACAAUCAUCCAAAUCAUUAGUCAGCGAAACAGUAUGGAUUUUGAGGCUUAAUUUAGACCCGACAGGACCUCUAUGUAGUUUUAAUUUCAUUUGAGAGUCUGCGAUUUUCAGAGAUUAGUAGUGAUCCUCAGGAGAAUGCAUGGUGACAUUUUGGGCUUCCCCACGACAGCCAAAAUAGACCUCCUCUCCAAUGUCAAAGUCCAAUACAGAACACACGCACACACAAAAGGCCUACGGGCCUAAAGCUUGCAUGCUAUCUCAGGAUUAGCCAUGAUUAAGGCCCCAUAAUCAAAAGUCAAUCCAGACUGAUCAGAAAGAUCAGAAAGGCACAGAGACAUUUCCUAUCACUGGGCUAAAUAAUUAGCUGUGUGAUGCCUUCUUUAGAACUAUCUGUUUAGUGCACAGUGAUUGACUAUCA
ensembl:lncRNA